UUAAGCGACUAAGCGUACACGGUGGAUGCCCUGGCAGUCAGAGGCGAUGAAGGACGUGCUAAUCUGCGAUAAGCGUCGGUAAGGUGAUAUGAACCGUUAUAACCGGCGAUUUCCGAAUGGGGAAACCCAGUGUGAUUCGUCACACUAUCAUUAACUGAAUCCAUAGGUUAAUGAGGCGAACCGGGGGAACUGAAACAUCUAAGUACCCCGAGGAAAAGAAAUCAACCGAGAUUCCCCCAGUAGCGGCGAGCGAACGGGGAGGAGCCCAGAGCCUGAAUCAGUGUGUGUGUUAGUGGAAGCGUCUGGAAAGGCGCGCGAUACAGGGUGACAGCCCCGUACACAAAAAUGCACAUGCUGUGAGCUCGAUGAGUAGGGCGGGACACGUGGUAUCCUGUCUGAAUAUGGGGGGACCAUCCUCCAAGGCUAAAUACUCCUGACUGACCGAUAGUGAACCAGUACCGUGAGGGAAAGGCGAAAAGAACCCCGGCGAGGGGAGUGAAAAAGAACCUGAAACCGUGUACGUACAAGCAGUGGGAGCCUCUUAAUGGGGUGACUGCGUACCUUUUGUAUAAUGGGUCAGCGACUUAUAUUCUGUAGCAAGGUUAACCGAAUAGGGGAGCCGAAGGGAAACCGAGUCUUAACUGGGCGUUAAGUUGCAGGGUAUAGACCCGAAACCCGGUGAUCUAGCCAUGGGCAGGUUGAAGGUUGGGUAACACUAACUGGAGGACCGAACCGACUAAUGUUGAAAAAUUAGCGGAUGACUUGUGGCUGGGGGUGAAAGGCCAAUCAAACCGGGAGAUAGCUGGUUCUCCCCGAAAGCUAUUUAGGUAGCGCCUCGUGAAUUCAUCUCCGGGGGUAGAGCACUGUUUCGGCAAGGGGGUCAUCCCGACUUACCAACCCGAUGCAAACUGCGAAUACCGGAGAAUGUUAUCACGGGAGACACACGGCGGGUGCUAACGUCCGUCGUGAAGAGGGAAACAACCCAGACCGCCAGCUAAGGUCCCAAAGUCAUGGUUAAGUGGGAAACGAUGUGGGAAGGCCCAGACAGCCAGGAUGUUGGCUUAGAAGCAGCCAUCAUUUAAAGAAAGCGUAAUAGCUCACUGGUCGAGUCGGCCUGCGCGGAAGAUGUAACGGGGCUAAACCAUGCACCGAAGCUGCGGCAGCGACACUAUGUGUUGUUGGGUAGGGGAGCGUUCUGUAAGCCUGUGAAGGUGGCCUGUGAGGGUUGCUGGAGGUAUCAGAAGUGCGAAUGCUGACAUAAGUAACGAUAAAGCGGGUGAAAAGCCCGCUCGCCGGAAGACCAAGGGUUCCUGUCCAACGUUAAUCGGGGCAGGGUGAGUCGACCCCUAAGGCGAGGCCGAAAGGCGUAGUCGAUGGGAAACAGGUUAAUAUUCCUGUACUUGGUGUUACUGCGAAGGGGGGACGGAGAAGGCUAUGUUGGCCGGGCGACGGUUGUCCCGGUUUAAGCGUGUAGGCUGGUUUUCCAGGCAAAUCCGGAAAAUCAAGGCUGAGGCGUGAUGACGAGGCACUACGGUGCUGAAGCAACAAAUGCCCUGCUUCCAGGAAAAGCCUCUAAGCAUCAGGUAACAUCAAAUCGUACCCCAAACCGACACAGGUGGUCAGGUAGAGAAUACCAAGGCGCUUGAGAGAACUCGGGUGAAGGAACUAGGCAAAAUGGUGCCGUAACUUCGGGAGAAGGCACGCUGAUAUGUAGGUGAAGCGACUUGCUCGUGGAGCUGAAAUCAGUCGAAGAUACCAGCUGGCUGCAACUGUUUAUUAAAAACACAGCACUGUGCAAACACGAAAGUGGACGUAUACGGUGUGACGCCUGCCCGGUGCCGGAAGGUUAAUUGAUGGGGUUAGCGGUAACGCGAAGCUCUUGAUCGAAGCCCCGGUAAACGGCGGCCGUAACUAUAACGGUCCUAAGGUAGCGAAAUUCCUUGUCGGGUAAGUUCCGACCUGCACGAAUGGCGUAAUGAUGGCCAGGCUGUCUCCACCCGAGACUCAGUGAAAUUGAACUCGCUGUGAAGAUGCAGUGUACCCGCGGCAAGACGGAAAGACCCCGUGAACCUUUACUAUAGCUUGACACUGAACAUUGAGCCUUGAUGUGUAGGAUAGGUGGGAGGCUUUGAAGUGUGGACGCCAGUCUGCAUGGAGCCGACCUUGAAAUACCACCCUUUAAUGUUUGAUGUUCUAACGUUGGCCCGUAAUCCGGGUUGCGGACAGUGUCUGGUGGGUAGUUUGACUGGGGCGGUCUCCUCCUAAAGAGUAACGGAGGAGCACGAAGGUUGGCUAAUCCUGGUCGGACAUCAGGAGGUUAGUGCAAUGGCAUAAGCCAGCUUGACUGCGAGCGUGACGGCGCGAGCAGGUGCGAAAGCAGGUCAUAGUGAUCCGGUGGUUCUGAAUGGAAGGGCCAUCGCUCAACGGAUAAAAGGUACUCCGGGGAUAACAGGCUGAUACCGCCCAAGAGUUCAUAUCGACGGCGGUGUUUGGCACCUCGAUGUCGGCUCAUCACAUCCUGGGGCUGAAGUAGGUCCCAAGGGUAUGGCUGUUCGCCAUUUAAAGUGGUACGCGAGCUGGGUUUAGAACGUCGUGAGACAGUUCGGUCCCUAUCUGCCGUGGGCGCUGGAGAACUGAGGGGGGCUGCUCCUAGUACGAGAGGACCGGAGUGGACGCAUCACUGGUGUUCGGGUUGUCAUGCCAAUGGCACUGCCCGGUAGCUAAAUGCGGAAGAGAUAAGUGCUGAAAGCAUCUAAGCACGAAACUUGCCCCGAGAUGAGUUCUCCCUGAGACUUAGAGUCUCCUGAAGGAACGUUGAAGACGACGACGUUGAUAGGCCGGGUGUGUAAGCGCAGCGAUGCGUUGAGCUAACCGGUACUAAUGAACCGUGAGGCUUAACCU
rnacentral:rRNA from 1 species